CAGUAGCCGCGGGAAUACGUAGGUGGCAAGCGUUGUCCGGAAUUAUUGGGCGUAAAGGGCUCGCAGGCGGUUUCUUAAGUCUGAUGUGAAAGCCCCCGGCUCAACCGGGGAGGGUCAUUGGAAACUGGGAAACUUGAGUGCAGAAGAGGAGAGGGGAAUUCCACGUGUAGCGGUGAAAUGCGUAGAGAUGUGGAGGAACACCAGUGGCGAAGGCGACUCUCUGGUCUGUAACUGACGCUGAGGAGCGAAAGCGUGGGGAGCGAACAGGAUUAGAUACCCCAGUAGUCCCUGUCUCUUAUAC
rnacentral:rRNA from 1 species